GCCUUAUUACACCUUACACUGUGAGACACACCAGUGUUGAUCACUGUUUGUGCUAGCUUGGAAUUUGGAGCAGUUACAUCCUUAGUCUGGAGUGACACAA